rnacentral:misc_RNA from 1 species
AAGUCGUAACAAGGUAACCGUAGGUGAACCUGCGGUUGGAUCAUUAACAAAAGUGCCAAGGUUCUGCCUUGACUAAGGAAAGAGUCGCAAGACUUGGACCACGACCUUUUGUGAACAGUUUAUUGUCUCUGGCAGAAUGGUUAACUUGACUAGUGGAAGUAUGAAGCUAGACAAGUCAACUUGCCUGUCAGUAAAUCAACCUUGAGUAUUAUCUAGUCUUAACUACUUGAAAAAGUAAACAACUUUUGACAAUGGAUCUCUUGGCUCUU